rnacentral:rRNA from 1 species
GACGAACGCUGGCGGCGUGCUUAACACAUGCAAGUCGAACGGAAAGGCCCUGCUUUUGUGGGGUGCUCGAGUGGCGAACGGGUGAGUAACACGUGAGUAACCUGCCCUUGACUUUGGGAUAACUUCAGGAAACUGGGGCUAAUACCGGAUAGGAGCUCCUGCUGCAUGGUGGGGGUUGGAAAGUUUCGGCGGUUGGGGAUGGACUCGCGGCUUAUCAGCUUGUUGGUGGGGUAGUGGCUUACCAAGGCUUUGACGGGUAGCCGGCCUGAGAGGGUGACCGGCCACAUUGGGACUGAGAUACGGCCCAGACUCCUACGGGAGGCAGCAGUGGGGAAUAUUGCACAAUGGGCGGAAGCCUGAGGCAGAAACGCCGCGUGCGUGAUGACGGCCUUCGGGUUGUAAACCGCUUUCGCCUGUGACGAAGCGUGAGUGACGGUAAUGGGUAAAGAAGCACCGGCUAACUACGUG